AUUGAACGCUGGCGGAAUGCUUUACACAUGCAAGUCGAACGCCCCGCAAGGGGAGUGGCAGACGGGUGAGUAACGCGUGGGAACGUACCUUUCAGUUCGGAAUAACUCAGGGAAACUUGUGCUAAUACCGGAUACGCCCGCAAGGGGAAAGAUUUAUCGCUGAAAGAUCGGCCCGCGUUGGAUUAGCUAGUUGGUGGGGUAAAGGCCUACCAAGGCGACGAUCCAUAGCUGGUCUGAGAGGAUGAUCAGCCACACUGGGACUGAGACACGGCCCAGACUCCUACGGGAGGCAGCAGUGGGGAAUUUUGGACAAUGGGGAAACCCUGAUCCAGCCAUGCCGCGUGCAGGAUGAAGGCCUUCGGGUUGUAAACUGCUUUUGUACGGAACGAAAGUCUCUUCCUAAUACGAAGGGUGAUGACGGUACCGUAAGAAUAAGCACCGGCUAACUACGUG
rnacentral:rRNA from 1 species